rnacentral:rRNA from 1 species
UAUCAGCUAGUUGGUAAGGUAAUGGCUUACCAAGGCUAUGACGCUUAACUGGUCUGAGAGGAUGAUCAGUCACACUGGAACUGAGACACGGUCCAGACUCCUACGGGAGGCAGCAGUAGGGAAUAUUGCGCAAUGGGGGAAACCCUGACGCAGCAACGCCGCGUGGAGGAUGACACUUUUCGGAGCGUAAACUCCUUUUCUUAGGGAAGAAUUCUGACGGUACCUAAGGAAUAAGCACCGGCUAACUCCGUGCCAGCAGCCGCGGUAAUACGGAGGGUGCAAGCGUUACUCGGAAUCACUGGGCGUAAAGGGCGCGUAGGCGGAUUAUCAAGUCUCUUGUGAAAUCUAAUGGCUUAACCAUUAAACUGCUUGGGAAACUGAUAGUCUAGAGUGAGGGAGAGGCAGAUGGAAUUGGUGGUGUAGGGGUAAAAUCCGUAGAUAUCACCAAGAAUACCCAUUGCGAAGGCGAUCUGCUGGAACUCAACUGACGCUAAGGCGCGAAAGCGUGGGGAGCAAACAGGAUUAGAUACCCUGGUAGUCCACGCCCUAAACGAUGUACACUAGUUGUUGGGAUGCUAGUCAUCUCAGUAAUGCAGCUAACGCAUUAAGUGUACCGCCUGGGGAGUACGGUCGCAAGAUUAAAACUCAAAGGAAUAGACGGGGACCCGCACAAGCGGUGGAGCAUGUGGUUUAAUUCGAAGAUACGCGAAGAACCUUACCUGGGCUUGAUAUCCUAAGAACCUUAUAGAGAUAUGAGGGUGCUAGCUUGCUAGAACUUAGAGACAGGUGCUGCACGGCUGUCGUCAGCUCGUGUCGUGAGAUGUUGGGUUAAGUCCCGCAACGAGCGCAACCCACGUAUUUAGUUGCUAACGGUUCGGCCGAGCACUCUAAAUAGACUGCCUUCGUAAGGAGGAGGAAGGUGUGGACGACGUCAAGUCAUCAUGGCCCUUAUGCCCAGGGCGACACACGUGCUACAAUGGCAUAUACAAUGAGACGCAAUACCGCGAGGUGGAGCAAAUCUAUAAAAUAUGUCCCAGUUCGGAUUGUUCUCUGCAACUCGAGAGCAUGAAGCCGGAAUCGCUAGUAAUCGUAGAUCAGCCAUGCUACGGUGAAUACGUUCCCGGGUCUUGUACUCACCGCCCGUCACACCAUGGGAGUUGAUUUCACUCGAAGCCGGAAUACUAA